AACGUCCGUCGUGGAGAGGGAAACAACCCAGACCGCCAGCUAAGGUCCCCAAGUCUAUAUUAAGUGGGAAACGAAGUGGGAAGGCUUAGACAGCUAGGAUGUUGGCUUAGAAGCAGCCAUCAUUUAAAGAAAGCGUAAUAGCUCACUAGUCGAGUCGGCCUGCGCGGAAGAUGUAACGGGGCUGAAAUAUAGCACCGAAGCUGCGGCAUCAGGCGUAUCACUAAUACGCCUUACGAUUAACAACAUGGAAUGGCGCGAAGCGGCAUGAAAGGUUGUUCAAGCAACCCGAACGUUGAGUCGGGGUAUUUUUGAAGUAAGGAUUAUUAGUGAUACGCCUGUUGGGUAGGGGAGCGUUGUGUAAGCGGAUGAAGGUUAAUCGAGAGGUUAGCUGGACGUAUCACAAGUGCGAAUGCUGACAUAAGUAACGAUAAAACGGGUGAAAAACCCGUUCGCCGGAAGACCAAGGGUUCCUGUCCAACGUUAAUCGGGGCAGGGUGAGUCGGCUCCUAAGGCGAGGCUGAAAAGCGUAGUCGAUGGGAAACAGGUUAAUAUUCCUGUACUUGGUAAAGCUGCGAUGUGGGGACGGAGUAGGUUAGGUUAUCGCACUGUUGGAUAUGUGCGUUUAAGUUGGUAGGUGGGAAGUUUAGGCAAAUCCGGACUUCCUUAACACAGAGAGAUGAUGACGAGGCUCUACGGAGCUGAAGUAACUGAUACCACACUUCCAGGAAAAGCCACUAAGCGAAAGGCUUUACUAAACCGUACUGAAAACCGACACAGGUGGUCAGGUAGAGAAUACUCAGGCGCUUGAGAGAACUCGGGUGAAGGAACUAGGCAAAAUAGCACCGUAACUUCGGGAGAAGGUGCGCCGGCGUAGAUUGUAGUCCCUAGCGGGCGAAGGUUGAACCGGUCGAAGAUACCAGCUGGCUGCAACUGUUUAUUAAAAACACAGCACUCUGCAAACACGAAAGUGGACGUAUAGGGUGUGAUGCCUGCCCGGUGCUGGAAGGUUAAUUGAUGGUGUCAUCGCAAGAGAAGCACCUGAUCGAAGCCCCAGUAAACGGCGGCCGUAACUAUAACGGUCCUAAGGUAGCGAAAUUCCUUGUCGGGUAAGUUCCGACCUGCACGAAUGGCAUAAUGAUGGCCAGGCUGUCUCCACCCGAGACUCAGUGAAAUUGAAAUCGCCGUGAAGAUGCGGUGUACCCGCGGCUAGACGGAAAGACCCCGUGAACCUUUACUAUAGCUUGACACUGAACAUUGAAUUUUGAUGUGUAGGAUAGGUGGGAGCCUUUGAAGCAGUGACGCCAGUCAUUGUGGAGGCGACCUUGAAAUACCACCCUUUAACGUUUGAUGUUCUAACGAAGAUGACGAAACGUGGUCUCGGACAGUGUCUGGUGGGUAGUUUGACUGGGGCGGUCUCCUCCCAAAGCGUAACGGAGGAGCACGAAGGUUUGCUAAUCACGGUCGGACAUCGUGAGGUUAGUGCAAUGGUAUAAGCAAGCUUAACUGCGAGACAGACAAGUCGAGCAGGUACGAAAGUAGGUCAUAGUGAUCCGGUGGUUCUGAAUGGAAGGGCCAUCGCUCAACGGAUAAAAGGUACUCCGGGGAUAACAGGCUGAUACCGCCCAAGAGUUCAUAUCGACGGCGGUGUUUGGCACCUCGAUGUCGGCUCAUCACAUCCUGGGGCUGAAGUAGGUCCCAAGGGUAUGGCUGUUCGCCAUUUAAAGUGGUACGCGAGCUGGGUUUAGAACGUCGUGAGACAGUUCGGUCCCUAUCUGCCGUGGGCGUUGGAUGAUUGAUUGGGGCUGCUCCUAGUACGAGAGGACCGGAGUGGACGCAUCACUGGUGUUCCAGUUGUCUCGCCAGAGGCAUUGCUGGGUAGCUAAAUGCGGAAGAGAUAAGUGCUGAAAGCAUCUAAGCACGAAACUUGCCAAGAGAUGAGUCAUCCCUGACUUUAAGUCAGUAAGGGUUGUUGUAGACUACGACGUAGAUAGGUCAGGUGUGUAAGUGUAGUGAUACAUUGAGCUAACAGAUACUAAUUGCCCGAGAGGCUUAACUAU
rnacentral:rRNA from 1 species